CCUACGGGUGGCAGCAGUGGGGAAUAUUGCACAAUGGGCGCAAGCCUGAUGCAGCCAUGCCGCGUGUGUGAAGAAGGCCUUCGGGUUGUAAAGCACUUUCAGCGGGGAGGAAGGCGGUGAGGUUAAUAACCUCAUCGAUUGACGUUACCCGCAGAAGAAGCACCGGCUGAACUCCGUGCCAGCAGCCGCGGUAAUACGGAGGGUGCAAGCGUUAAUCGGAAUUACUGGGCGUAAAGCGCACGCAGGCUGUCUGUCAAGUCGGAUGUGAAAUCCCCGGGCUCAACCUGGGAACUGCAUUCGAAACUGGCAGGCUAGAGUCUUGUAGAGGGGGGUAGAAUUCCAGGUGUAGCGGUGAAAUGCGUAGAGAUCUGGAGGAAUACCGGUGGCGAAGGCGGCCCCCUGGACAAAGACUGACGCUCAGGUGCGAAAGCGUGGGGAGCAAACAGGAUUAGAUACCCGUGUAGUC
rnacentral:rRNA from 1 species